rnacentral:misc_RNA from 1 species
CUAAAUAAAACAAAACUACUGAAAAAAAAAAUCCAUGCGGUUGGUCUAACUGGUUUGGACCGAGGCUUAGUGGAGCGUCAAAAUACAGAAAAAAGGGAUUAAUGACCAAAUCCAAAACUCAAGUCAAAUUUUAAGCUACUAAAAAUUCUUUUACUUGAGUCAGUUAUGCCACCAACUAUAACAUUUGUAUCAAUUGUGGUCAGCCUAAGAGGACCUUAAGCUGGACAUGCGCGCUAGCACAUCUCAAGUGUUGUAGCAAGUUUUACUAGUAGAGAUGUAGGAAGAGGAAAAGUUGAAGUUGGUGCCAAAUGGUAUUGCUGGUACAGAAGAGGGUCUUAUUUUUUUUUUU